CACUGGGCAAACGGAUGGUAUAGGGGUUGGCCAUAUGCUCAGAGGAAAACAUGAUGAUCUGGCGUGAAGAUGAUGACAGUGAUGAUGACAAUGAUGAUGUUGGAGGUUAUGUGCCUGCUCUACUACUUGCAUACUAGCUGUGUGACCUUGGGCAGAUAUUCAACCUCUCUGAAUCCUCUUUCUCAUCUCUGAGAUCAAGAUAUUCUAUACUUCACCUAAUAACUGUGGAAUGAUGUAUGUGAAAGUGCUUUAUGAACUUUUUUGGAUUAGAUGGAGUACUCUAGUUCCAUCUCAGGAGCCAUGUGCCACUCACUCACAUUUCCCUAUGCCCUUUCCCCCCGUUUCCUUCUCUUUUCCUGCCCUAACCCUUUCCUCCCUCUCUGUAUUCUCUUUGAAGUUGUUUAUUUAUUUCAGCACUUAAGGUAAAGGCAUGCAGUCAUCCAUUAGUGUAGUUUGUCCCCAGAUUUCUUCCCCACUGGGCCUGUCACUAGUUUAAGGCACUGAAAGCCAGGGAGGAGAGAAACAGUUUAAAAAUUCAUUGAAACACAGCUUAAAGCAAGACAACCUACAUGACUGUAACUGUGAAAUAAUCACAGGAAAGAGAGUAACUUCUUUACCUGCUUGAAGGAAUAGUGUUCUCUUUAAGUGAAAGCAAUAUGCAAAAGCAGAUCUCCUAGAGUGACACACACCUGCAAUGCUGGCUUUAGUUUCAGCAGUCAGUAAACAUUUAUCCAACAGUAACACUGGUACCAGGCAGGAAGAUCUAAAAGAUGAAACUAAGUCAUUUGCUUUCAGGAUCCUAUAUUCAGGUAUAAAACUUAGAGAAACAAAUGCAUGUUUAGUAGGAAGAUAUGUUAUUAGCAUAUCAACAUACACAUACACCCCAGUAAUUAUAUAAAUUUAUUGUGUUUGAAUAACAAACCAAUGGGAUACUUUAGAGAGUCUUCUGAGUGCUGUAAACAUUGUUUGACUUCUUAAAGUGCUGGUUUUUUUAGCAUGCAGGUACAUAUUACAAGUAAUAAUUGAAGUCAAAUGCAGAAAAAUGUUUAAAAAUAGGAAAUACAAACUUUGAAAACUUAAUGUAGUUUAAAUCGGCACAACUGAGUCAUUAGGAUUGCUCAGACUGUAUUCCCCAAAUAGCCCCCUUCACAUGUUCUUAAAAAGAAGUUAUAUAAAAUAAUGGCCUUUGCUUUUUUAAGCCUCUAGCUGCACUUACUGUUCAAACAUAAAGGCCCUGCAUUUUUGGAAUAAGUCAUCACAAAUGAGACACGUAUAGCUUAAGGUCACACACACACUUGCCACACACUUUCAGAAUUCUAAAAUCCACUAAAGACCUAGAAGCAAUGUCUCAUCGGAUGUUUCCAACUUAAAGGGCCUGUGAGUUUCAUUCCAUUGUAAAGCAUGAGCCAUAUUACAUGGAUCACUAGUUUUGCUUUUUAGUUUAUCACAUGGCUCGUAUUUCUCUCUGCAUCUUAUGCAUCAGCCUUAGCGACUGAAAUGACCUGGGGCCCAAGAAAGCUCAAGAUGCCACUUGUGGCUUGUCCCGUGGGUCCCGUGGUUUUGUGAGUUCCCUUUAACAGACUAUCUUCCUCUUUUCAGUGAAUAUUUUGGAAAUGUUUCAUUUAGUAAAGUGAAAAUCCUUGUCAGAAUCAGCACAGAUUAAAAUCCGGGCUAAGAGGGCAUAAAGAAAUGCUUUCUGGUCAGGGAAACUGGCUAUAUAAGAGGCUGUGUUCGUGAAAAGAAGAAAUGGUAGAAAACUUCCCUCAAAUGGUAAUGGGAAAUGGGUCAAGUCCUACAGGUAUUGUUUUAAUUCACUGCUCCGUGAGAACCACAAACAGCUGGUUAAAGAUUGAGCCCACCAACACUGUUAGAAAAGCAACUAUGGUUGGAUUUUCUUUCCUGCUCAGCUGGGCUAUUAUUAUGAAAAAUAAGGAGAACCAUUAAUGCAAAGUUUAGCUACCAAGAAACCCUCAGGAGGAGGGAGGGAGGGAAGGAGGGAAGGGGGGGGAGAGAGAGAGAGAGAGAGAGAGAGAGAGAGAGAGAGAGAGCGCGCCAGUGCCAGCGCCCUCCAUGGAUCAAAAUAUAAAGGAUAGAGUAAAAACAGCUACUUCCUAAAAUUUUAGCAUCACCGAGCUUCUAGUGCCAUGUUCUCUUUUCUCCGUGAGUGAAUUGGCCAGUUAUGACACGUUGCUAUCAUUGCCAGUGUUGCCUUUUUCUGGGCCUAGGAAUCUAGUCUGGCUUCUCAUGUUUUUUGCUUCUUGCCUCUUAUUUUCUUUUAGUGUGUAUCUGUUUUAUUGCUUGUGAACAUUUUCAUCAGAGGAGAAAAGAAGGAGAUGGAGAAACCAUUUAUCGAAGACUUACCAUGUACCCUGCAUUAUAUGUACAUGAGAGAUACAGUAACAAUCCUAGAUACAAUCCUAGGAGGAAGUUGGGAACCACAAAUUGACAGAUUGUUUUUCUGCAUAAUAGAAGCAAAGUAAAGGGAAAUAAUAUUGCAUUUCUUAUACCUGGGCCCACACUCUCGAACUUUUACUUGCUACAAAUAUUUCAAGGUGACCCCUGAACGGUGCCAGUGGAUAGUAAGCUAGACAAUAUCUGAUUCCAUUGGUUCCAAUCAAAUAUAAAUAAAAGUAGAUAUAUGUCAUACUUUACAUACAAAGAUGAGGUGGUUAAUUUAUCACUAAAAGUGGCUUGGAGUUAGUAGGGUUCCUGGUUCCUGGGAAAAAUACCCUUUAUGGCUUAAGCUCCAUCAAACAGAAACCAUUCUAUAAAGCUACUUGCCUUACCUUUGCCAUUAGAUUGCUCUCCAAAUUAGUUAAAACUUUUAAGCCUAUUUACAAAGCUGUCUGAUGCAAUCCGAUUAUGACACAGCUUGAAUUUCAGUGCCAAUUAUAUGUUUGGGAUAAAAAGAUGAGAUUGGCUUAUAACUAUAUAUUUUUGAAAGAUAGGUGUGUGAUUUGUGCCUGGGAAUCCAAGACCUUAAAUACCUAACUGGUCUUGAUGAAAGUCAGAGAAAUACUAGCUACCCCAUAAUAGAGGUCUUUCCAGGGCAGCCUGGAGCAGUAGAGCACAGAUUCUGAAACUACGACUGCUGUUGUACCUGCUCAGACUUGCUGAAAGAAGAGCUACUCUUCCUCUGACAAAAUGAGGACUGAUGGGUUCUUCUCAGUUUCCUUGGAGACCCACAGGGUGCUGGAGCAACUCCUUCUCCCAUUCUACCAUGUGUGGGUACUGCUAUUGUACUAUUAGUCAGGGGGUGAGAAACCUAACCCUUUACCCCCAGCUGCUAAAUUUUUUCUUCUUUCUUCCUAAGUCCGGAGAGGACAAGAGGCAGCCCCAAAGCUUGCUUUUGUUUUGCCUGUACCUUGGGGAUCCACACUCUUUCUAAGGCCCGUUUUUACAGAAAGAGGGAUGUGCUUCUGUUCUCACUCUAGAACUCAGAUCUACACACGUAGACUUUGAAUUGUUUCUCCAGUAGUGGCCAUGGGCUAUAUCCAUAUUAUUAUUGUUUAAAUGUGUCACCCGCAGUUCAUGUGUUGGAAACCUAAUCCCCAACUUAACAGUAUUGAGAGGCAGGACACUUAAGAGGUGAUUAAGUCAUGAGGGCUCUGCUCUCAUGAAUGGAUGAAUGCUGUUAUCUUGGGAAUGGGUUAAUCAUCAUAGGAAUGGGUUCCUGAUAAAAUAAUGAGUUUGACCCCCAUCUGUCUUGCUCUCUCUCAUGCUCUUUCACCAUGUGAAGCCUUCCAUCAUGUUAUGACUCAGCAAGAAGGCCCUUGCCAGAUGCAGGUGCUUUGACCUUGAACUUCUCAGCCUCCAGAACUGUGAGAAAUAAAUUACUUUUCUUUAUAAAUU
rnacentral:lncRNA from 10 species